rnacentral:rRNA from 1 species
UACGGGGGGGGCAAGCGUUGUUCGGAAUUACUGGGCGUAAAGCGUGCGCAGGCGGUGAUGUAAGACAGAUGUGAAAUCCCCGGGCUCAACCUGGGAACUGCAUUUGUGACUGCAUCGGCUGGAGUGCGGCAGAGGGGGAUGGAAUUCCGCGUGUAGCAGUGAAAUGCGUAGAUAUGCGGAGGAACACCGAUGGCGAAGGCAAUCCCCUG